GGAUUAGAUACCCUGGUAGUCCACGCUGUAAACGAUGAUCACUAGGUGUUCGGCCUUCGGGCUGAGUGCCCAAGCGAAAGCGAUAAGUGAUCCACCUGGGGAGUACGUCGGCAACGAUGAAACUCAAAGGAAUUGACGGGGGCCCGCACAAGCGGUGGAGCAUGUGGUUUAAUUCGAUGAUACGCGAGGAACCUUACCUGGGCUACAAUGCCUCUGACCGCUAUCGAAAGAUGGUUUCUCUUCGGAGCAGAGUGCAAGGUGCUGCAUGGUUGUCGUCAGCUCGUGCUG
rnacentral:rRNA from 1 species